UACAGAGGGGGCAAGCGUUGUUCGGAAUUACUGGGCGUAAAGGGCGCGUAGGCGGCCCGCUAAGUCGAACGUGAAAUCCCCGAGCUCAACUCGGGAACUGCGUCCGAUACUGGCGGGCUUGAAUCCGGGAGAGGGAUGCGGAAUUCCAGGUGUAGCGGUAAAAUGCGUAGAUAUCUGGAGGAACACCGGUGGCGAAGGCGGCAUCCUGGACCGGCAUUGACGCUGAGGCGCGAAAGCCAGGGGAGCAAACGGG
rnacentral:rRNA from 1 species